rnacentral:lncRNA from 1 species
GCAUAAUAACCCGAUACACCACUUCUUUGCAUAGUCCUGGCAGUGUCCCUCCUAGCGUAAUCCCACAUCAACUCAGCUAUAACGUAACACACAGAGAUAAGUUCGUAAGAACUUAGUCAGGAAAACAUCGUUUACCUGAGUCCUAUUUGCACAUUGCAACUGAUAAUUUAUAUAGACGAUGUCAUUGUUCUUAACAUUCAACUUUAUCUCUAGUCGAAUCAACACAAUUAACAAAAGGCUGCUACAGACACUAACCAGGAUUCAUGUUGAAUCAACAUCGACUAGAGUUUCUUCAUCUGACCAUUGUAACGCCGAGACUCCACCCAUCAUAGAUGUGUCAUUCUCAACCUCCUAACAUAAUCCCUUAAUUAAGCCAUCGAUAGCCUAAUCGAUCAAAAGAGCAAAAAACUCCCCUUUUCGUAUACCUUUUGGUAUUUGCCCCAUAUCAGCGCUUAACCCUUCUAUCUCUGUUGUUUGCCACUGACCGAAUACCUCCCCUUAUCUCCCUUCGAU